GCAUUACAAUUUAAGAGAUUGGAAUCCAUUUUCUUUUUUCAUUUUUUAUUAUUUUGUAACUAGAAUGUAAAGCAGAAGUUAAAACAUAAACCCUUCAUUAACUUACUCUGUUUAUGCUUGAAUUUCAAAUUUAAUAUGAAUCACUCUUAGUAUUAGCAUAAUUUUAUUCAAAUGGACUGUAAGUCAAAGAUGUAUAGAUUAGAUUUCAAAAAUUCAACAGGUCAUUAAUUAAUUCAGUUCUUUUAUUGUUUGCCCUGAUCUUCUGUACGUUUAUUUUAUAUCUAUUAUAACAUCAAUAAAGGGCUGCUCUUUUUUAACAUAAUUCUAUAUGGGGUAUUUACAAGACAAUUUUAGUUUAUAUUCUUACUUAUUGGGUAUUUUUCUAUUAAAUUUAUAUUGUAAAAUAUUGUGGUCUUAGUAAUCAAUAAAAUUAGAGUUGUUUUAAACAACGUUACUACGUUAGUGUAGCAUUUUGCCCAUUGAAUUAGUUAAAAAAUACUUAUAUCAUGCAUAUCUUUGUUUAGUGUUGUUAUUUUAAAAGUUCGAUUAUUAAUUUAUAUUUAAUUCCAAUUCAAAUUGUUAUAAGAGGGGUGUUGGGUAAUGGAGAUAGAAUAAUGUUUUGGUUGGAUGUGUGGGUGGGGUCGAGUCCACUGCAUCAGUUGUUCCCCUCCCUGUUGGCCCUUGACUCGAACAAGAUCAGACAGGUUGAAUGUUGGAGGAAGUGGUCUGAGAGUGGCGUGGGCCUGGUAAAGGGCCUUGCUUCUUCCCGAGGAGUUUGAGGAUUAUGGCUGCUAAGAUCAUUACGCAUUUCGGUUCUGGGAUUUGGAUGACUCAAAGGUUUUCACAGUUAAUAGCUUAAAACGGGGGCUGCAAAUGGGCUGAAAGAACCGUCUUCCAACAUCAAACACUUUGCUUAAAAGGAUUUUCUUGCCAUUGCGGAUCUUUGUGUGUUUUGUGGGGAAGUCUCUCAAUUGUGUCAACACAUCUUCAUGUCUUGCUCCUAUGCAAAAUUGGUGUGGCAGAUUCUAUCCCAGUGGUGUAAUGUUCAAUCGACCUAUGCUUUCAGCUUACGUUAUCUUGGGGAGAAGAAGAAAGCAUUCCACGCCGUUAUUCUGACUGCUAUUUGCCAUUUGGUGUGUGGCGUACGCGAAACGAUAAAAUGUUUAAUCAAGCGCAUGUGUCUUUGGUGAAAGCUGUAGAAGAAAUGAAAGCUUUGCGUUUUUUUUGGGUGAAGAAUAGAUCGAAAGAGUGGUCCAUUACGUGGCGAUGGUGGAGAUCGUUUAAUAUCUUCAAUGUAGGUUGAUUUGUGUUUUGUUUUGUUUUGGUAGUGUAAUUUUAAAUUGUGAUGCAAUUUGUAACUUUAGUUAUCAAAAAGUAUAUAAUUAUUUUUAAUUGUAUAUUCACUUUGUCAUUAACUUAGCUAAUAUGUCACUUUAUU